AUUUUAUCCGAAAGACAGAUUUUACUCAACCUUUAGUAUAAUAUUUGCUUUGUUCUUAUACUGAUUCCUCGAUGCUCUGUUCAUGGCUUUGUUCUUAUUUCUGACGCUAUAUAUUUGCUCUAUCCAAAAGACAGAUUUUACUCAAUCUUUUGCCUUUUAGAAAAAGGGAGAUGCCAUUUAGACCUUACUCUGUCCAACUUGAUCUUCAACUUGCCGCUACUGUUUCUAAGCAUUUUCCCGAAAACUAUUGUAUUUGCUUUAGAGAAUGAGCUCACCUUACUCAGAAGAUAUGCCAAGUAAAAAAUUAGAAAUUGAACAAUUAGUUCCGCUCUUAAAUUUUGCACAACAGUCCAAAUUAUCCAAUAAAUCAUGUGUUAGCAGGGUCAGAUUAUAGAAGUUGAAUCACUUGUUCUAGAUUACCCAAUCCAAAUUAUGGAUGUUAAUAAUAUGCUUUCUGUUAGACUAUUAGUCAAAUUGUCGAAAGCCGGAGCUGGGUCGAGCCUUUGGCCAUUACGUGAGAAGCAACACCGGUGUUGGCCGUUACCGUGUGCAGAGUGCGUGAGUUAGUGAUUUAAUUCCAUCCUUUCCAUCUCAUGAUGUGAUUUUUCCUUUAGGAUGAAUUAGUAACUUUGUGUGGAGGUGGCACCACUACCUGCUGGUUGGUGUAAUGCCGUGCUUGACAGGGUGAUCUGCAAUUUUGAGUUUGUUUAAUGGCUUAAUGUCUAAGCACUCAUCCCCUUAUUCUGUUGUGUUGCUACCAACUUGGUUUGCAAGGAACAGAGCUUCAUCUGUGUACAUCAAGAUUGCUAAUUGCCAUCUGAAGGGUGAUAGUAAGCAUGAAGAUGCCUAAGCUUAUGAGGAAGCUGCAAACUGCGACCAAAAAUUCUCACUUCAGGGUACUCUCUUUCGAUCUCGAUCUCAGAGAGGAAACGAGGCAGCCACGGCCUCCUGCCCCCCCCCCUCUCUCCCUCUCUCCCGUGCCUCCGCGCUGCCGCAGUACUCCCGCGCUGCACACCGCUGCUGCUCCCCAACGACGGCGCUCUGAUGGUGCUUGCUCGCCUGGUCGCCGCCUCGUCUCGCCCGAUCUUGAUAUCGUCCGGGGUGGCGCCGGCACCGCUCGACUGCGUCGUUGCCUCAUCUGCGUCAUGAGAAGCGCCACCAUUGCCUCCACCCCCACUGGGCAAGGAGGUCGAGGUGUUUGGGGGUUCGUGUUUCCUACACAGGCCAAAACACUAUUGGAGUUUGAAACCAGUCGUUUGGAGCAGAUCAGCUCAAAAGAGAUCCUUUGUACCAUUUGCAGACUACCCACCUUCCUCUGGAGAUUGACAGGCCUGGAGUCUCGCUCGCCUCUAUUUUCCCCCUAUGGACACACAUGAGACUCAGAUCUUGGUUUGUCGUAGAGGAAUCGAUAGCAAGAAUCAACCAGAGAAAGGAUGUACACAAGGUGUCUAAAGAUUUACUUUGUUCCAGCGCCUACUUUGGAUCAUAGGAAACUAAAAAAAGAGGGCGCCGCCACCACCGUCAUCAGGCUGGCCCACAUCCACGGGCUGCUCGGCG